rnacentral:rRNA from 1 species
UACAGAGGUGGCAAGCGUUGUUCGGAUUUAUUGGGCGUAAAGGGUCCGUAGGCGGUCCGUAAAGUUGGAUGUGAAAUCCCACAGCUUAACUGUGGAACUGCAUUCAAAACUCACGGACUAGAGUAUGGAAGGGGUGAGGGGAAUUCCCGGUGUAAGGGUGAAAUCUGCAGAGAUCGGGAGGAACACCAGUCGCGAAGGCGCCUCACUGGUCCAUUACUGACGCUCAGGGACGAAAGCUAGGGGAGCAAACGGG